rnacentral:rRNA from 1 species
UGCCAGCCGCCGCGGUAAUACGGAAGGUGCAAGCGUUAAUCGGAAUUACUGGGCGUAAAGCGCACGUAGGCGGUUGGAUUAGUCGGAUGUGAAAGCCCCGGGCUUAACCUGGGAAUUGCAUUCGAUACUGUCCGACUAGAGUAUGGGAGAGGGUAGCGGAAUUCCGGGUGUAGCGGUGAAAUGCGUAGAUAUCCGGAGGAACAUCAGUGGCGAAGGCGGCUGCCUGGCCCAAUACUGACGCUGAGGUGCGAAAGCGUGGGGAGCAAACAGGAUUAGAUA